rnacentral:rRNA from 1 species
UACGAAGGGGGCUAGCGUUGUUCGGAAUUACUGGGCGUAAAGCGCACGUAGGCGGAUAUUUAAGUCAGGGGUGAAAUCCCAGAGCUCAACUCUGGAACUGCCUUUGAUACUGGGUAUCUUGAGUAUGGAAGAGGUAAGUGGAAUUGCGAGUGUAGAGGUGAAAUUCGUAGAUAUUCGCAGGAACACCAGUGGCGAAGGCGGCUUACUGGUCCAUAACUGACGCUGAGGUGCGAAAGCGUGGGGAGCGAACCGG